AUUCAACAAUGCUAUUUAAAAUUGGAUAAAUAAAGGCAAAUGAAAUUAUAAAAAUGGAUCAUCACUUUUAUGGAAAGCCAACUAAACCAAUGUUUUGCUCAACAUGUCAAGCAUUAGGGGACUUUAAUAAAAUAUUGAAAGUGAGUUCCCCAGAGGAGAUGAGCAAUUCAAAAAUAGAAUGUAUGAGAACAGUGCUAAUUGAUACUUCAAAUACGAAUGGCACUCCGUAUCCUUAUGGAUGAGGAAGCGUGUUAUCUGAUGAGAUGACACAAAUCAUGCAAUGGGAGUCUCUGGGGCCCAGUGGACAGCAGCUGUGCAGGAUCUGAGGCUGUGGAUGUUAACAACACUGCUCCCUGGGAAUCCACAGGAGAGAUUCGUUCACUGCCAUGUAGAACCAUGUUGUACAGGAUUUACUGUUGUGAAAGUUUCCCAGAGUUCUGAUAACAAUGGGUAGUCAGAACCUAGAUUAUCUGAACCAAGAUAGAACGCUGCACGGAAUGCAGCACUGCACAGCACUGCUCUUGUCUAUUGGGCCCUCCAUGAAGGAGCUAAUUUAUCCACCCUCCCUUCUGUUGAACCAUCAGUGGGUAAUCUCAGGAGCUUAUUUUGGAAUAACUGCUCAGCUACUAAUGGAAUAAAGAGUAUAAUGAAUGAACAUAAGUGGACACUAAAGCCUGUUAGUGAAAGGGUGUGGCUAACUUUAUGAUGGAGGCAUCCAACUGACACCACCUGAAUUCACUGAUGAAGCCUAGAGAAAUGGGACAGCUGUGCCAGCACGUGCCUUGUGAUGUGAUGCACCAGGAAGUAUGAAGUUUUCUUGCCCAAAAAAAUUCAACCUGAAUCUCAUCAAGCCACUUUACAGGACAUACAGGGGAUCAAGAAACAAGUAAAAUGACACUGAGGGGGAGGCAAUAAGACAAAUCCAGAAUGUGGGUCAUUUUACAGGACAAAUUACCCAAUUUCUACAGCAAAUGAGUAGUCAGGGAAGGGAGGAAGAUGGUAUAAAAGAGAAGAGACUUACGGACAUAGCCAAAUGCUGUGUGUGGCUCUUAUUUGGAUUCUGAUUAGAAGAAACCACCUGUAAAAAUACGGCUUUGAGACCAUCAGGGAAGUCCGAACAUGGACCUGGUGUUAGAUGAUAAUUUAAAAUUAUUGUUAGGUAUGAAUAAUAGCAUUUAGUUAUUUUUAAAACAUUUUUGUCAAUUAGAAAUGCAUACUAAAAUUUUUACAGGUGAUAUGACACAAUAUCUGGAAUUUUCUGGAAAAUGCUUGAGCAAAAAGAAAGGUAGGCGGACAGAUGAAAUGAGAUUGGCAGGGCUGGCCCGGUGGUGCAGCGGUUAAGUGUGCAUGUUCUGCGGCCUUGGGUUCGCUGGUUCGGAUCCUGGGUGCGGAUGUGGCACUGCUUGGCAAAAAGCUAUGCUGUGGUAGACGUCCCACAUAUAAAGUGGAGGAAGAUGGGCACAGAUGUUAGCUCAGGGCCAGUCUUCCUCAGCAAAAAGAGGAGGAUUGGCAAUAGUUAGCUCAGGGCUAAUCUUCCUCAAAAAAAAAGAAAAGAAAUGAGAUUGGUAACAUAUUGCUAAUUGCUGAAGCCUGAUGCUGGGUAUGCAGAGCUUUACAAUAUUCUCCUUAUUUGGGGGUAUGCUUGAAAUUUUCCAGAAUAAGAAGUCUUUUAAAAUAUACUUUUGCUGUAGACACUCACCCCUUACAAGUCAGGCUAAUGAGUUCCAGAAGUUGAAGUUUUUAUUACUCAAGAAGCAGGAAGUCGAGGUUCUUAUACUCAGGAAGUAAACAUUCUCUUCCCCUGAUAAGGCCCCUAUAAACACCCCUGGAAGGGCAUUGAAAGUCAAAACUCAGUUUUCAUUAUUCUGAAAUCCAUUUUUUCUCUCAUAGCCUGAAAAAAGCACCGGUGGUUUUUUCCUCAGCCACGUUACUCUCUUCUAUAAGAGCUUAAUAAGACACACGGAGAAAAUGGAUCUCCAUUUGCAGGUUUUGCUGCUUGAGAACCAUUAAAAGACCCUUAAGAGCAUCACUCAUCUAUUAAGUGAAAGGGAACUCUUAACAUUAAAUUAAGGGAAAACAACUCUUUCAUACUAGGAGGUUUUGCUGUUUAAAAUACACUAUUUAGAUAAUGAAAAAAUACUGAAGCAAAAAUGGUUGUACUUUGUUGUAGCAUAUUUCUAGAGGAACAGGAGAGCUCUCAGAAAAUCUACACCUUACUUUGUUCUUCAUCACCUAAAAGAAAUGGCUUCAGAUUAAAAUUUCCUGAAUCAAAAAGUACUUUUAUUAAUCUGAGAGCAUUUAUAAAUUGUGAGGUCAGUACUGUAAAAGUCUGUGCAAUGAUUUAAUUCUUAGAGGCUAUUUGGCUUUCAUUGCCUUUAAAGCUGAAGUUGGCUAUUUCACUCACUCCAGGAUGGCUAAUUAACAUCCACAACACAAUUCUCUUGGCCGUCAUUCCUUCAAAUGUCUAUCUCCAACCCAGAAGACAUCAGCCAGGAUAUUAGCUUAGGCCCUUUUUAGUAAUUUUAUAAAUAAUAUUUCAACUUUGUUUUGGAGGUGAUGGGGAAAGUUUCCAUGUGGGAAGAAAUGUAAUAGUGUAGCAAGAUGAACAACCCAGUAUGUGCUAGAAGGAGUUCUUCCUGUUGACCAGCUCUGAAUGUCUGCAAAUACCUCAUUUUCCAGAAGUCUUAAAUAAAGAUAUUUAAUAUUCACCUUGGAGUCA
ensembl:lncRNA